rnacentral:rRNA from 1 species
UACAGAGGUCUCAAGCGUUGUUCGGAUUCAUUGGGCGUAAAGGGUGCGUAGGCGGCGCGGUAAGUCGGGUGUGAAAUCUCGGAGCUUAACUCCGAAACUGCAUUCGAUACUGCCGUGCUUGAGGACUGGAGAGGAGACUGGAAUUUACGGUGUAGCAGUGAAAUGCGUAGAUAUCGUAAGGAAGACCAGUGGCGAAGGCGGGUCUCUGGACAGUUCCUGACGCUGAGGCACGAAGGUCAGGGGAGCAAACGGG